rnacentral:rRNA from 1 species
UACGUUCUCGAGCCUUGCACACACCGCCCGUCAAGUUGGCCGAGUCGGUAACACCAGAAGCGUCGGGAUUGCCCGGCACCAAGGUGGGAUCGGUAAGGAAAGCU